rnacentral:lncRNA from 1 species
ACCACCGUGUUCAGUCACUCGCAAACAGUUGUGGUGUGCGGGAACUGCCAGACUGUGCUGUGCCAGCCUACCGGUGGUCGUGCCAGGCUCACUGAGGGUUGCUCUUUCAGGAGGAAGGGGGACUGAUGCUCCUGCUAAGACCACUUUUGACUCAUGUUAGUUUAUGUGAAACGGAGCCUUUUGAAGGUUCAUUUCGUGGAAGAAAAGAAAUGGGUGCUGUUGUUAUUGUCAAGUUAUCUAGGUUUGGG